rnacentral:rRNA from 1 species
UUUAAUUGAAGAGUUUGAUCAUGGCUCAGAUUGAACGCUGGCGGCAGGCCUAACACAUGCAAGUCGAGCGGCAGCGACUUAACUGAACCUUCGGGGAACGUUAAGG